CAAAUGGCGUAAAACAAGAAAACUACCUUUGCUUUUGUUCAAAACACAGAGACGAGUGAAAUACAAACACGAGUCUUAAAGAGAGUCGAAAGGGGCCGUAAAGAGUCUAAUAUUAAUCUGCCUUCCCUCAUGCUUCACGAGUCGAGGCACAAAACCUCGCGUCAAGUGUAGUCUACGGAGCCUGACUACAGGCCGUUUACGGAAUGACUUAAGGACUCUGCAUGAGUCUUAAAGCAGCGAGUUCAGUGCGUAAGACCCUUUAGAGAGAGGGUCGUUAGAGAAGAACGGGCCAUCUGGUGGUUGAAAGUCAAGCUCACAAUGCAGCUGUUAUGGGUCAUCUGGUGGUUGAAAGUCUAGUUUUUGACAUAAUUGAAUGGUUUUUUUCUAUUUUUUAAAUUGACAGCUCUCGUCUUUCUAUUGCUUGAAACCUUUUAAUUCAUUUAGGGUUUUUAAAUUGAGGUCGGUUAAUGGUUUCUUCGAGCAAGCAAGUAGAUCUGAAAUCUACAGAAAUCUGUACAGUCUGUUCGUAGCUUCUGGUUUGUGUUAACGAUGUUUGUAUGUGACUGUCUAACAGGUCUACAAUUUGGAGAUGCUGCUGCUGCAAGCGCCCAGCCGGUUGACGAAUCUGGGGAUGACCCAGAAUCGCAACCUCAGCCAAUUACUUAGCCAAAAGCUGGUUCCAACCAAAGAGCCCAACCCCAUCAAGCGAUACUACCGGAAGGCGGCCUACUUCCUAGAGGACAACUGGAAGCGAGUUUGGGUGCUGGUGCUCUGGGUUUCCAUCUGCGUCGACCUCUUCACAUGGAAGUUCAUCCAGUACCGGCGUUUUCUUCAUCAUUCUGUUCGUUGGUGAACUUGGUAAUUAAACGAGGAAACUGGGGGCAUUUCGAUAGUUCUAAUUUUUGGCUUUUCUCUGUCAAGUGCGAAUGGAAGAGACAAAGUAGAGAUGGAAGAUGGAAGGGAUCAUGAUGUGUAUAGAAGCUGAGAUUUUGGUAAAUCUUAUAGUGAUGAUGAUGUGUGUGUAAGGAGGACAUUUGCAUCGCUGGAAUCUUUGUAAUCUUUUUAUCUUUCUUUCUUUCUUUUUGGGUUUGAAGAAGGAGAAGAAGAGUGUGAUAUAAAUGUGAACCAGGACUUACAGUUUGCACCACCCAUUACUGUAUUCAGCAACCAGUUGCAGUGGCUUGGGAACGUAUGGACGUGCUCAAAGAACAUCAUUUCAUUGGUGAAUGGAUCGAUGAUUUGACGGGCGGUGGACCUUACUUUGACCACAAGUGGACCAGACUCAGGCUUCCGAAACCCCUCAAGAAGCUUAUUGGUUUCAUUGCGUUCUGGUACUCUGACCACCUGUUUGAUGCGAGCGCUUGAUUCGCGCCUUCAGGUCUGGCUAUAAGACAGUGAAGAUUUUGAAGUUGCCGUCUAUCCAGGAUAUGUGCUGUCACUCAAUGUGUCUAAACCCCAAGGAUUUGAGUACAGAAGUGGGCAAUAUAUCUUUGUCAACUAUUCAGUUGUUUCUUCUUUGCAAUGGCAUCCUUUCUCUAUCACACAACCAACCCCCGGAGAUGAUUAUCUGAGCAUUCAUAUUCGCACAUUAGGUUACUGGACAUCGUAGCUCAAAGCUGUAUUUGCUCAGCCCCGGCACAGGACUACAAAGAAUAUGAUGUCUUGCUCCUUGUUGGGGUGGGGAUUGGAGCCACACCACUGAUCAGUAUAGUUAAAGACGUUUUGAACAACAUCAAGCAACAGAACGACGUUGAGGAAGGUGCCGUAGAAGCUGGAUCCAA